UGGUAAUUCAAAAAGGAUGACGGCGAUUCAAGCCGAUUGGUGAAGAUUUCACAAAAUCAAUGUCGGGUUCAGAUUUACAGGGGGUUCGGCUUUAUGACCUUUGCUGAGGACGGUGUUGCAGAUCGUGUUUCAAGAAGGUCACACGAGAUUUGUGGACAACAGUUAGUCGCCGGUAGUGCUACUUCUUGAUUUUUGUCUUAACUUAACUUCUCGUAAGCUACCCAUUGCAGUUCAUCACUGAUACUUUAUAAGGUGGGCGGGUGAUCAAGAAUGGGAAACGUGCGCACAUGAAAAUAGUGUUGGGUGGAUGGAGAUGGCUGAGCCGGUUAUGAAUCUUUGUACAAAAACUAUUGAUGGUUCUUAUAUUGAAAAGAAAGAAACUAGAAUGGUUUGGUACUAUGAAGAUGUUGACAAAGAUUUUGGGUCGGAACAGGCUAAGUAACAUAUCCUAAUUCCUAAUUCCAUUCAAUCAGAUGUCCUUCGUCUCCAACGCCGCCCUCAAAACCCUAGCUUACGCAUCUUCUCCAACAUAUCGAUAAUGGCGAAUUAUGAGGUUGAUCUUAAUAUUCUUUAUCUGUCGUUUUUACUUGCUAUAUUCCCUUAUUCUCUCAAUCCUCUCAAGAUCCAUAAUUGCUCUCUACUUGCAGACAUCAAACACCGAUUUUACAUCUUCAAGAUCUAGAGUUUUGUGUUCAAGCUUCUAUAUCUGAUUUCUAUUGUUAAAGCUUCUAUCAAGGUAUGUGUUUCUGAUUUUUUGGUUUACUAAUUAGUUGAACAACUGUUGUCUUUACACGAUUGAUGUAAGAUCUCUAAUUUCUAUUUGUCGAUCAAAAGCAUGUUCACUUCGGGUCUAUUCGAGUGACUUAAAUGGUAUUUAAUUGGUC